rnacentral:rRNA from 1 species
UACGUAGGUGGCAAGCGUUGUCCGGAAUUAUUGGGCGUAAAGCGCGCGCAGGUGGUUCCUUAAGUCUGAUGUGAAAGCCCACGGCUCAACCGUGGAGGGUCAUUGGAAACUGGGGAACUUGAGUGCAGAAGAGGAAAGUGGAAUUCCAAGUGUAGCGGUGAAAUGCGUAGAGAUUUGGAGGAACACCAGUGGCGAAGGCGACUUUCUGGUCUGAAACUGACACUGAGGCGCGAAAGCGUGGGGAGCAAACAGG